rnacentral:rRNA from 1 species
ACGCUGGCGGCGCGCAUAACACAUGCAAGUCGAGCGAGGGCUCAUUUCCCGCAAGGGAGAUGGGUUCCUAGCGGCGAACGGGUGAGUAACACGUGGGCAACCUUUCCUAUCGCGGGGGAUAACAGCGGGAAACCGCUGCUAAUACCGCAUGUCGUCAUCGGUCGCAUGGCCGGUGAAGAAAGCAGCAAUGCACGAUGGGGUGGGCCCGCGGCCUAUCAGCUAGUCGGUGGGGUAACGGCCUACCGAGGCGAUGACGGGUAGCUGGUCUGAGAGGACGACCAGCCACACGGGGACUGAGACACGGCCCCGACUCCUACGGGAGGCAGCAGUGAGGAAUCUUCCGCAAUGGGCGAAAGCCUGACGGAGCGACGCCGCGUGUGGGAUGAAGUCCUUCGGGAUGUAAACCACUGUUGGAGGGGAAGACUUCGACGGUACCCUCCGAGAAAGCCCCGGCUAACUACGUGCCAGCAGCCGCGGUAAUACGUAGGGGGCAAGCGUUAUCCAGAUUUACUGGGCGUAAAGCGCGUGUAGGCGGCUGGUUAAGUGUGAUGUGAAAUCUUCGGGCUCAACCCGAAAACUGCAUUGCAAACUGGCCUUGCUAAAGUUGCA